rnacentral:rRNA from 1 species
AGAACGAACGCUGGCGGCAUGCCUAAUACAUGCAAGUCGAACGAACUCUUCGGAGUUAGUGGCGCACGGGUGCGUAACGCGUGGGAAUCUGCCCUUGGGUUCGGAAUAACAGUUGGAAACGACUGCUAAUACCGGAUGAUGACGUAAGUCCAAAGAUUUAUCGCCCAAGGAUGAGCCCGCGUAGGAUUAGCUAGUUGGUGGGGUAAAGGCCUACCAAGGCGACGAUCCUUAGCUGGUCUGAGAGGAUGAUCAGCCACACUGGGACUGAGACACGGCCCAGACUCCUACGGGAGGCAGCAGUAGGGAAUAUUGGACAAUGGGCGAAAGCCUGAUCCAGCAAUGCCGCGUGAGUGAUGAAGGCUUAGGUUGUAAAGCUCUUUUACCCGAGAUGAUAAUGACAGUAUCGGAGAAUAAGCCCCGGCUAACUCCGUGCCAGCAGCCGC